rnacentral:piRNA from 1 species
UGAUCUUAAACCUCAGCCUGCCUAAGAC